rnacentral:rRNA from 1 species
ACUCCUACGGGAGGCAGCAGUGGGAAUAUUGCACAAUGGGGAAGCCAUCGAUGCAGCCAUGCCUGCUGUGUGAUGAAGGCAAGGCAUUCGGGCUUGGUUAAAGACACUUUCAGUAGGGAGGAAGGUAGUGUAGUUAACACCUGCAUUAUUUGACGUUACCUACAGAAGAAGCACCGGCUAACUCCGUGCCAGCAGCCGCGGUAAUACGGAGGGUGCGAGCGUUAAUCGGAAUUACUGGGCGUAAAAGCGCAUGCAGGCGGCCUGUUAAGUCAGAUGUGAAAGCCGGCUA